UGGACUAUUGGUUUCAACAUGAGACUAAUCCAGGGUGGUGACAUGCCGGUCUUUGUAGUUCUUGCUUCGGGGUUAAUGAGGGGCAGGAAAGAGUUCCUUAGACUCCUGCAUGGCAUCAUGAAUGCUGCUGUUCUUCUUACUUUGGUUUUUUUCCUCCUCCACCUUUUCUACCUUGGUGUGCUGGGAUCAGAUCCUGCUUAUCUUCCACUUCUUAAGAAAAGCUGACAUAGAAGACACAUUGGGACUAUAACAGGGCUGGGUCUCCUCUUCCACUCCCACUAGACACAUGCUGCAGUACAUCAGAGAGUUUGUCACCAGUUAAGCAGGCUCCUCGGAAGUCCCCCUCCGACACUGAGGGUCUUGUAAAGAGUCUGCCUUCUGGAUCUCACCAGGGCCCAGUCAUAUAUGCACAGUUAGACCACUCCGGCGGACAUCACAGUGACAAGAUUAACAAGUCAGAGUCUGUGGUGUAUGCGGAUAUCCGAAAGAAUUAAGAGAAUACCUAGAACAUAUCCUCAGCAAGAAACAAAACCAAACUGGACUCUCGUGCAGAAAAUGUAGCCCAUUACCACAUGUAGCCUUGGAGACCCAGGCAAGGACAAGUACACGCGUACUCACAGAGGGACAGAAAGAUGUGUACAAAGGAUAUGUAUAAAUAUUCUAUUUAGUCUUCCUGAUAUGAGGAGCCAGUGUUGCAUGAUGAAAAGAUGGUAUGAUUCUACAUAUGUACCCAUUGUCUUGCUGUUUUUGUACUUUCUUUUCAGGUCAUUUACAAUUGGGAGAUUUCAAAAACAUUCCUUUCACCAUCAUUUAGAAAUGGUUUGCCUUAAUGGAGACAAUAGCAGAUCCUGUAGUAUUUCCAGUAGACAUGGCCUUUUAAUCUAAGGGCUUAAGACUGAUUAGUCUUAGCAUUUACUGUAGUUGGAGGAUGGAGAUGCUAUGGUGGAAGCAUACCCAG
rnacentral:sRNA from 1 species